rnacentral:tRNA from 3 species
GCACCCGUAGUGAAAUGGAUAUCACAAUAGUCUUCGGAACUAUUAUUGCAAGUUCAAAUCUUGCCGGGUGCACCA